rnacentral:siRNA from 1 species
ACAUUGGUGGUUGUCUGUCGG